rnacentral:rRNA from 1 species
CUAUAAUGCAGUCGAACGAACUCUGGUAUUGAUUGGUGCUUGCAUCAUGAUUUACAUUUGAGUGAGUGGCGAACUGGUGAGUAACACGUGGGAAACCUGCCCAGAAGCGGGGGAUAACACCUGGAAACAGAUGCUAAUACCGCAUAACAACUUGGACCGCAUGGUCCGAGUUUGAAAGAUGGCUUCGGCUAUCACUUUUGGAUGGUCCCGCGGCGUAUUAGCUAGAUGGUGGGGUAACGGCUCACCAUGGCAAUGAUACGUAGCCGACCUGAGAGGGUAAUCGGCCACAUUGGGACUGAGACACGGCCCAAACUCCUACGGGAGGCAGCAGUAGGGAAUCUUCCACAAUGGACGAAAGUCUGAUGGAGCAACGCCGCGUGAGUGAAGAAGGGUUUCGGCUCGUAAAACUCUGUUGUUAAAGAGGAACAUAUCUGAGAGUAACUGUUCAGGUAUUGACGGUAUUUAACCAGAAAGCCACGGCUAACUACGUGCCAGCAGCCGCGGUAAUACGUAGGUGGCAAGCGUUGUCCGGAUUUAUUGGGCGUAAAGCGAGCGCAGGCGGUUUUUUAAGUCUGAUGUGAAAGCCUUCGGCUCAACCGAAGAAGUGCAUCGGAAACUGGGAAACUUGAGUGCAGAAGAGGACAGUGGAACUCCAUGUGUAGCGGUGAAAUGCGUAGAUAUAUGGAAGAACACCAGUGGCGAAGGCGGCUGUCUGGUCUGUAACUGACGCUGAGGCUCG